rnacentral:rRNA from 1 species
CGGAGGAGCACGAAGGUUAGCUAAUCCUGGUCGGACAUCAGGAGGUUAGUGCAAUGGCAUAAGCUAGCUUGACUGCGAGCGUGACGGCGCGAGCAGGUGCGAAAGCAGGUCAUAGUGAUCCGGUGGUUCUGAAUGGAAGGGCCAUCGCUCAACGGAUAAAAGGUACUCCGGGGAUAACAGGCUGAUACCGCCCAAGAGUUCAUAUCGACGGCGGUGUUUGGCACCUCGAUGUCGGCUCAUCACAUCCUGGGGCUGAAGUAGGUCCCAAGGGUAUGGCUGUUCGCCAUUUAAAGUGGUACGCGAGCUGGGUUUAGAACGUCGUGAGACAGUUCGGUCCCUAUCUGCCGUGGGCGCUGGAGAAUUGAGGGGGGCUGCUCCUAGUACGAGAGGACCGGAGUGGACGCAUCACUGGUGUUCGGGUUGUCAUGCCAAUGGCACU